rnacentral:rRNA from 1 species
GAUGAACGCUGGCGGCGUGCUUAACACAUGCAAGUCGAACGAAGCACCUUAUUCUGAUUUCUUCAGAAUGAAAAAUUUGGUGACUGAGUGGCGGACGGGUGAGUAACGCGUGGGUAACCUGCCUCAUACAGGGGGAUAACAGUUAGAAAUGACUGCUAAUACCGCAUAAGACCACAGCACCGCAUGGUGCAGGGGUAAAAACUCCGGUGGUAUGAGAUGGACCCGCGUCUGAUUAGGUAGGUGGUGGGGUAACGGCCUACCAAGCCGACGAUCAGUAGCCGACCUGGGAGGGUGACCGGCCACAUUGAGACUGAGACACGGCCCAAACUCCUACGGGAGGCAGCAGUGGGGAAUAUUGCACAAUGGGGGAAACCCUGAUGCAGCGACGCCGCGUGAGCGAUGAAGUAUUUCGGUAUGUAAAGCUCUAUCAGCAGGGAAGAAAAUGACGGUACCUGACUAAGAAGCACCGGCUAAAUACGUGCCAGCAGCCGCCGCCG